rnacentral:lncRNA from 1 species
CCUUCAUCACUGCGUCAGCAUCAUUUCCUGUCUGGAAGGAAGCAACAAUAAGUUCAAGUUACUAAAACUGAUGAAAUUAGAUUAGCUACAGAUGCAGAAAAGAUGCUGUCCUCCCCUGGGAGGAACCUGGUGUGAAUGACCCUCAUGUACCCCACCUGCAUGAGCUCCCCAGCAAAGGAAAUCAUGCACCAUGUUUUUCUCCAUUUUUGCUAAACCUUUAAAUAAUAUCUGUUGCAGAUGGGACAUAUGUGCUUUUAAAUGCCAAUGCUAAGAAUUCUUUGUUUUAAAGCAGAAGAAAGGUUUUCCUUGUCAGGAAAACAAAAGCUGAAAAGUGACUCACAAGCUUAUUAAAAGAAGCACCAGAUCCAGUGGCAGCUCGGCUGUCAUUAGCAGAAUCACAUGCAGUUAGCGAGACACUCCUCGGGGAGCUUACAAACGGGUUGCUCUUCCUUUCCUGCAUAGAUUGUCAUAGCCUGGCCCACUACACUCCUUUCCAAGGACAGAAGUUGGGCUUCUGUAGAAACAUCAUCAGGUAACAUAUGUACCUGGUAGCAGAGGAUAGAAUAUUAGAGAAGGUAUAAAAUUCAUAGGGCCCAGCUCAGGUGGCACCAUAGUCUCUUAAAUAUUAGGGUUUUGUCAGCCUGAGAUCUCUAAUUCUAUCUCCUGGUUGAAGGACUUUGGGUUUUGGCCUUUGAGUGUGGGGAAUGUUGCUCCUCUCAUCUAUCCCUCUCCUACACGUAACGCCCAUCUUCACCUCCACAUGGUGAGCCCACGUAUGGCUUACCUAGUACUAUGCAAACAAUUACCCCAGAACCGUGCAGCUUAAAGCAACAGUCAUCUUGCCCAGUUUCUGUGGAUCAGGAGUUGAAGAGUGGAUGGGUGCUCAGAGGGUUGUGAGCAAGAUGUCAGCCAGCGCUGGAGUCACCAGAACUGGAGGGUCCAUUUCCAAGCUCAGUCAUGUGGUUGUCACAGGCAUUCCGUUCCUCGCUGGCUGCUGAGCCAGGGUGUCAGGGUCUCAUCACAUGAGGCCUCCAGGCGCCGCCUGAGGGUCCUCGUAACAUGACAUCUGGCUUCCUCUAAAGUAAUGGAUAGAGAGAGAAAGAGAGGGGAGAGAGAGAGAAAAAAAAAAAAAACCUCAAAACAGAAACCACAAUCUUUCUAUGACCUAAUUUCAGAAGUAACAUACCCUUGCUUCUUGCCAUGUACUAUUCAUUAGAAGCCAGUCACCAAGUCCAGCCCACACUUGAGGAGGAGAUUUAAGCUCCCCCUCUUGAAGACAAGAAUAUCAGGAAUUUGUGGACAUAUUUUUAAAACCACCAUAGCCCAUCAGAAAGGCCAUAUUUAAUCUCCAAAGGAUGAUUUAGGAUGUUACCUCAGAAUACUUCUAGACUCUAAGAUCAUAACCCUGUGACUUCGUCAGGUUAUGGAUUCUAGGGAAGUUCAAUGAAUCAAGGGCUCGGAAAUGCUGCUCUCUCUCCCCUGCUCCAUGUUAUUUGUGUUUUUCAAGAGGGGCAUUUUGUCCUGCUCCACUCGGAAGUGAUAUCGCCUCUUAUUUUCAUCUCUCAAUUACUCCUUUCAUGAUCGGUUUUUGCUUUCUGGGUCAGAAGUAUCAACACCAGAGGUGAAGUUGCUAUCACAAAAUCAUGACCUCAUGCCUCCAUCAUGAUCAUGCUGCUAAGGUGACAUUGAGAAAAGGUCCCUAUACACUUGCUGGAGCAAUCAGACAUGGCUUAGGUACCAGGGAAUGUGUGAUCAUGUAGGAAAUAUUCACCAUCUGCUCUCAGGGGGAGUUUUUUUAAAAAAAUUAUUUUUAGAGGUUCAUUUUGUGACUGAUAGAUAUUAACCAAUUCUCUCAGUUAAAUAAGAAACCAAUGGUCUACAUUGGGAUAGCUGUAGAUUAAAUGAACACUGGUUUAGUGGUCAUCUAGAAUAGAAGGAUCUUACUUGUAUCUGUGUGACUGAUAUUUUUCUUUUUAACAGAAGCAUCUUCUUGCUUAUAAAACUCAGUCGUGUUCAUGCUAAACAUUUUAAGUAAUAUAAAAUGGUACAAAGUAGAAAGUUAAAAUACCAUCUUCAAUUCUUCACUCUCAAGAUGACCACUAGGAGGUGGAUUGUAUCUUUCCAGAUCUAUGUGCCUGUGUGCUUUUUAAGUGGGCUGAUGUUGCUAUAGGCUCUUCUAAUGCUUAUGCUGUUGAUCUAUAAUUGCAAUUUUAGGUUUCUUCAUAUGGUGGUUACCUCACCUACCAAAUCAAGUCCUUUGGCCUACCUGGUGACAUGGUUCUUCUGGAAAAGAAGCCAGAUGUGCAGCUCACUGUAGGUAUCAGAGUGCAGCCUGAGGGGCUGGAAGUGGCAAUUGUAGUUGGUUGCUGAUCCAGUUUUGGGACAUCUUAAUAAAUGGCCUAUAAAAGAUUAGAUUAAGUCAUUUCCAAUAUUUUGUAGAAAUUGAAAGGGAAGUUGAGAGCAGGUAAGCCCCCCUCAGGAUCCUGCUUCCCCUGGUCAUCCAGCCCCAAUGGCUUCUCUUCUGUCUCCUCCCAAGGAAUGUCACUAUAUCUCACACUUGCUUCUCAUAAAUUAUUGCUUCAUGUUAAACUUUGUUGAAUGUCUCGAUAUUUUUUUAAAAAUAUUUUAUUUAUUUAUUCAUCAGAGACAGAGAGAGGCAGAGACAUAUGAAGAGGGAGAAGCAGGCUCCCUGCAGGGAGCCCGAUAUGGGACUCAAUCCUAGGAUCCCGGGAUCAUGACCUGAGCCAAAGGCAGACGCUCAACCCCUGAGCCACCCAGGUGUCACCAUUGUCUCCACCUCUCAAUUUAGUCUCACAGUAGCUUUUGAGACCCUCCUGUUGGCAAGGCUCAUUGCUGGGCUCAGAAAGGACAGGUGAUCCCUGUCCUUCACAAAAGCGUAAUCUAAGAGGGGAGGCAGAAGAAAUAUGCACAUAGCUACAAUCCACUGAACAAUAUGCAUUUGAGGUGAAGUUUGAACAGUCUUGUGACUCUGUGAGAGCUGGGGUCCAAGUGGGGGCUUACGUGGUUGAGAAGCCCUCAGAAGGCUUCGUGGAAAAGGUUCAUUUUGAGCCAGACCUUUAAGCAUGGGCAUGGCAAGAGCACCCUUCCAGGGGCAAAGAAUAAUAUAAAUCAAGGCAGGGACACCUGGGUGGCUCAGUGGUUGAACGUUUGCCUUUGGCACAGGGUGUGAUCCUGGAGUCCUGGGAUCGAGUCCUGCAUCGGGCUUCCCGCAGGGACCCUGCUUCUCCCUUUGCCUAUGUCUCU